GCCCAGUGAAUUUAAUUUUAAACGGCCGCGGUAUUUUGACCGUGCAAAGGUAGCAUAAUCAUUUGUCUCUUAAUUGGGGACUGGAAUGAAUGGGGAUACGUAAAAAUAAUUGUCUCUUUUUUUUUUUUUGAAUUUUCUUUUUAGAUGAAGAAGUCUAGAUUUCUUAGAAAGACGAGAAGACCCUAUUGAGUUUUAUUUUUUUUUUAUAGAUUUUUUUUUUCUAUAUUAAUAGAAUUUUGUUGGGGUAACAUUAGAGGUUAAAUAUUCUCUAUUUUUUUAUUUUGUUCCGGUAUUAUCGAUAUUAAGAGUAAAUUACCAUAGGGAUAACAGCGUAAUUUUUUUGGAGAGUUCUUAUUAAUAAAGGAGAUUGCGACCUCGAU
rnacentral:rRNA from 1 species